CAAAACUUUUUUCUUCUGAAUAAAAACCUUCUGAAAUCCAUCCAUAUUCUUCCGGUCCUCUCGUUGCAUCUGAUUGCGACCUACCAUAGCGGAUCCGAAUGAACGGGGAGGAGGUGUGAAGGUGGAAUAUCGCGGAAAUCUGUAACCGGUUCACGACCAUAGUAAGGGCGUAGCAAGGAGACGUGAAAAACGGGAUGAACACGAGAGGUAGAGGGGAGAUCCAACAUGUACGCUACUUGUCCGAUUCGUUUGAUGAUGGUAAAAGGACCAAAGAAACGUGAAGCUAACUUCUGAGAUGAACGUGUUUGGACGGUUUGUUGGCGAUAUGGCUGAAGCUUGAGUAAAACAAGAUCUCCGAUUUGAAAAGAGUUCUGCUAGUACCGGUUCUGAGACAGAUCCCUCAACAUAGUCAACCAAGGAAGGUGGGUCGCGACCAUAGAGUGCCCGGAACGGAGUCAUUUGAAUGGCAGAAUGAUGUGAAGUAUUGUACCAAUAUUCUGCAAGGUGAAGAAACUUGUACCACUUCUUUGGCUGAGAACUGACAAAACAGCGAAGCUUUCCAAAAGGUACUGAGAAACAAUGGGUCCCUGUCGGAGACAAUCGACUUCGGUUGACCGUGGAGACGAGCGACUUCGACUAUAAAGCGUUUAGCAAGAUCCUGAGCUGUGAAAUGAGAGGGCAUGGCGAUAAAGUGAGCAGAUUUGGUAAGACGAUCGCAAAUAACCCAUAUAGUUGUGUGACCGAAGGAGUUUGGCAAAUGUGUGAUAAAGUCCAUCGAGAUGUCUUCCCAGACUUGCUUAGGGACAGCAAAAAGAAGCAGAAAUGCGUGAAAGGGUUGCUUUUAGUCCUGAAUGACCUGCUGUUGGUGUUGCGUGAAAUUCAGCAAGGAGCUUGGGACGGAUCUGUUGGAAAUCAGGUAUAAAAAUCUUGGCUUUGUAGAAUAACAAUCCAUUUGAAAUUGUGUAGUCAGUCUGAGUUUCAUUUUGAAUAAGGCUUCUGACCAAACUCUUUCCUGACUCAUUUGUGGCAUAAUAUUCACGCAAACUGGAGAGGAUAUCAGGAAUGGGGGAGGACAAAGCAAGUAACAUGGGCUCUUCCGCUGUGUAUU